GACGAACGCUGGCGGCGUGCUUAACACAUGCAAGUCGAACGGAAAGGCCCAGCUUGCUGGGUGCUCGAGUGGCGAACGGGUGAGUAACACGUGGGUGAUCUGCCUCUAACUUCGGGAUAAGCUUGGGAAACUGGGUCUAAUACCGGAUAGGACAAUCGUUUAGUGUCGGUUGUGGAAAGUUUUUUCGGUUAGGGAUGAGCCCGCGGCCUAUCAGCUUGUUGGUGGGGUAAUGGCCUACCAAGGCGUCGACGGGUAGCCGGCCUGAGAGGGUGGACGGCCACAUUGGGACUGAGAUACGGCCCAGACUCCUACGGGAGGCAGCAGUGGGGAAUAUUGCACAAUGGGCGCAAGCCUGAUGCAGCGACGCCGCGUGGGGGAUGACGGCCUUCGGGCUGUAAACCUCUUUCGACAGGGACGAAGCUUUGGUGACGGUACCUGUAUAAGAAGCACCGGCUAACUACGUG
rnacentral:rRNA from 1 species